rnacentral:rRNA from 1 species
UACGUAGGUGGCAAGCGUUGUCCGGAUUUACUGGGCGUAAAGAGCGCGCAGGCGGUUGAUUAAGUCGAAUGUGAAAGCCCCCGGCUCAACUGGGGAGGGUCAUUCGAUACUGAUUGACUUGAAGGCAGGAGAGAGAAGUGGAAUUCCUGGUGUAGCGGUGAAAUGCGUAGAGAUCAGGAGGAACAUCAGCGGCGAAGGCGGCGAACUGGAUAGUAACUGACACUCAACUACGAAAGCGUGGGGAGCAAACAGG